GAGGGGAGCGCAGCAUUCGGGCUGUGUCCCCUGGCGCCCUGGGAUCCGGGGCCUGCACUGCUGGAAUUGCGCUCCCGGGGCUGCGCUGCCCCCU
rnacentral:pre_miRNA from 1 species